UUUUCCAGGUAUCUUUUUAUUUAUUUUUCAUUCACUUGCUUCUGCUAGUUGUAGCAUAACACAUUAUGAGCAGGAGAUUCUGAAGAAGUGGCAAGGCUUCCAUCACAUCAACGAAGAUUGCCGUCUUACGUCAGCUCAGGGAAGUCUUGAUAAACAGGAAUGUGCAGGACUGUAACACUUCUACAAAACAGUUCUAUGGCAGCAUGUAUGGUGACUUCCCUGUUAUUAGUAAUAAAAUGCCUUUGUAGAUAUGUUACUGAUAACUAAAAGUUCAUUAGGACGUCUUUCGUAAUGAAGGCCAAGGUUUAUAUUUCUAGGCAGACUGAUAGGACCUGGCUCCAAGCAGUUUACAUUUUUGAAGUUGACACACACAACUCUUUCUUCUUUCAAGAUGAGCAAUACGCAGUAGGGAAAACUGUCCCUGUGAAAUUUUUGCCAAUAAAAUUCUUUAAGAUGAUGCAGCUGCACUUUCAGAUAUUUUUCUGCCAAUCUAUAUCCAGAUAUCCAAAGAGGGCCACUGAUUAAUGCUCUAAGUCCAGGAGAGGGUUACACAUAAACCUACUAUUUGUUCAUCUCCUCUUUCACAUCAUUAAUAAAGUGGAGCAACUUCUGGCUUGAACGGAAGUUUGUGUGUUUGUGACAUACUUGAAGAGAAUGAAUGGCACCUUUUCUUUCAUGAUCAUCACAGGCACUCUCCAUCUCAACAUCUGUUUGGAAGACACUGUUCAAAGGAAUCCAAAAGAGUUUAGUUAGGAGAGAAACAUGGGGUGGCAGCAUUUCUCCAGGGUAAAAGGUUUAACAGGAUGCCGCUUAUGCCACAAGGCUAGGAUUAAGUGACUUUUGGGGGCCACAUGUACGUAACCCUUGUGUUGCAGGAUUACCUUCAUCCUUUUUGCCUAUUGACAAACCAAACUGAUCAGAGAGCAUAAAUGCGAUCUCAACACCCUCCCAGUUUAAACAAACCUGGGAUUAAUCCACUGUCCUUUGCAAAAAGUAGUUGUCCUCAGUCUAGGUCAUAUUCAAUCCAUCAUGGACAUCACUAUCUGCAACAGGAGUAACAGGGUGUCGGUACCCAGAUUUAGUAGCCGAAUACUGACAAAAACAGGGACAUGCUUUCGGCACAGACUGGCUCCCACAGCUGUGGGACAUACAGCCAUCUAGUGGCUCGUUCUUCGGUGAGACACCACUGGACAGGGUAGUGGUCCAAAUUUUAACCUCAUGCUAUACAUUAUUUCUAUGCAC
rnacentral:lncRNA from 1 species